AGCUCCAAUAGCGUAUAUUAAAGUUGUUGCAGUUAAAAAGCUCGUAGUUGGAUUUCGGAGUGGGCGAGUUGGUCCGCCGCAAGGUGUGUUACUGGCUCGUUUUCUCUUUUUCGCAAAGACUGCGGGUGCUCUUCGUUUAGUGUGCGUAGGAUUUACGACGUUUACUUUGAAAAAAUUAGAGUGUUCAAAGCAGGCUAUUGCUUGAAUACAUGAGCAUGGAAUAAUGGAAUAGGACUUUGGUCCCAUUUUGUUGGUUUCUAGGACCGAAGUAAUGAUUAAGAGGGACAAUUGGGGGCAUCCGUAUUUCGUUGUCAGAGGUGAAAUUCUUGGAUUUACGAAAGACGAACAACUGCGAAAGCACUUGCCAAGAGUGUUUUCA
rnacentral:rRNA from 1 species